AGCAGCCGCGGUAAUUCCAGCUCCAAUAGCGUAUAUUAAAGUUGUUGCAGUUAAAAGGCUCGUAGUUGAAUUUCGGGAUCAGUACGCUGGUCGUGCCUUUGGUAUGUACUGGUGUCACUGAUUCCUCCCUUCUGAAGAACCGUUAUGCCAUUUAUUUGGUGUGGCGGGGAAUCAGGACUGUUACUUUGAAAAAUUAGAGUGUUUAAAGCAGGCUCACGCUUGAAUACAUUAGCAUGGAAUAAUGAAAUAGGACGUUUGAUUCUAUUUUGUUGGUUUCUAGGAUCGACGUAAUGAUUAAUAGGGAUAGUUGGGGGCAUUAGUAUUCAAUUGUCAGAGGUGAAAUUCUUGGAUUUUAUUGAAGACUAACUACUGCGAAAGCAUUUGCCAAGGAUGUUCUCAUUAAUCAAAG
rnacentral:rRNA from 1 species